UACGUAGGUGGCGAGCGUUGUCCGGAUUUACUGGGCGUAAAGGGAGCGUAGGCGGACUUUUAAGUGAGAUGUGAAAUACCCGGGCUCAACUUGGGUGCUGCAUUUCAAACUGGAAGUCUAGAGUGCAGGAGAGGAGAAUGGAACUCCUAGUGUAGCGGUGAAAUGCGUAGAGAUUAGGAAGAACACCAGUAGCGAAGGCGGCUCUCUGGACUGUAACUGACGCUGAGGCACGAAAGCGUGGGGAGCAAACAGGAUUAGAUACCCU
rnacentral:rRNA from 1 species